rnacentral:rRNA from 1 species
AUUGAACGCUGGCGGCAUGGCCUUACACACUGCAAGUCGAACGGUAACAGGGAGACGUUGCGUCGCUGACGAGUGGCGGAACGGGUGAGUAAUGUAUCGGAACGUACCAUUCAGGUGGGGGAUAACGUAGCGAAAGUUACGCUAAUACCGCAUAUUCUGUGAGCAGGAAAGCAGGGGAUCGCAAGACCUUGCGCUGAUUGAGCGGCCGAUAUCAGAUUAGCUAGUUGGUAAGGUAAAGGCUCACCAAGGCGACGAUCUGUAGCGGGUCUGAGAGGAUGAUCCGCCACACUGGAACUGAGACACGGUCCAGACUCCUACGGGAGGCAGCAGUGGGGAAUUUUGGACAAUGGGGGCAACCCUGAUCCAGCCAUGCCGCGUGAGUGAAGAAGGCCUUCGGGUUGUAAAGCUCUUUCGGCCGGGAAAAAAUACGCAUCGAGUUAAUACCUGGUGUGGAUGAUGGUACCGAAUAAGAAGCACCGGCUAACUACGUG